UAUAGCUCGUAACCGGCGCCCGCGUUGGGCCUGGGUCAAAGGAGGGAAGCGGCCCGAGGGCCAAGGAGGGACGAAGGAGGCGAAGUCGGGUCCCCUUCGAGCCGCCAUGACGUUCCCCGUUAUGGCGAGAAUGGCGCCUGCUGCUCCGGCAGAGAUCUUUUAUCGUCAGUGAGGUAUAUCCUUACCUGUUCCUCCUCCGGGAGAACAGCACAUGAUGAAUGGAGGCAGCAUGAGACAUGAUUAGAGUCUCCGCCGGUCGGGGAANAGCAACACCCCGGCUUGCCCCUUUCUGAUCCUCCUGGCGAUGUUACUUUUAAAUACCAAAGAAGCGUUCAAGAUAGAGAAAAGUGAACGUUAUUUUAAAGCGCUCGUUCUGGGGNUGUUUCGCUGAGAGUUCUGGGAGUUGUAGUUCUAGGAAUAAUAGAGUGGAUCUGUUUUCCUAUCACUAGUUGCCUACAACUGUAAUCUGAUUGCUCUCCUGGCGAUCCGAUUUGUUGCACCCGCUUGAUAUCCCACCCCUUCGCGUCUCUCAUAGGUCGGUGUUUGCCCUUCCUAACCUUUUCUUUUCCACAUCCCCCAAUGCCUCNCUUCACAGCUCACAAAAUGGCCUCUUCUCCCGCCUCUAGCCUUCUGUCUUGCUCUCCGAUUGGCUGCCUGUAGAGAACUGACAGUCCUAAGCCGGCCUGCAUCCUUCUAAAAUUAGCCAAGGAGGCAGGCGAGCAGUUUCCUUUUUCUCUGCGGAGUCCCGCCCGUUUUUCCUCUGUGCCCGUUGAGAAAGCUGUCUCGUGAGCGACGUAGGCUCUUGGCCAAUGGGAAGGCAGAAGGGUGGCGCCAAGGGCGGAACGGAACUCAGCAAACCAACCCGCGAGCGCCGAGAGAGCACGUUUUCACCUGGGUGUGUGCCGNGCCCUGCUGCGGCGCCCAAUCGGANUUCGGGAGGGCAGAUUUGAAAGCGAAGACUCAUUCGCUCUGCUGCGGAUGGAGAAGGAUCGCGCAGGUGCCGCAGCGGCGAGCCGGAGGCAGGCGAGGGAGACGCUUCGCAGANCCUGAGUCCGCUGUUCUUCUGCUUCUUUUCCUCUUUUGUUUCGCCCGCAAGUGGCCCCUCGCCAGUUUUACCUAAUUUUGUGAGCCAAGCCAGAUUGGACCGGGCUAGUAGUUGGAAUAUUAGCUGCUACAGGCUGCAGAAUAUCCAGGAAGAGGAACUUCAGUGUCCUUGCGGACGAGUUGGCAUGGGCUUGUCCACUGGUCAACCUUUCCAACGCUCGCUCAAGACAUAAAGACGACUCGUACCCAGUCUGGUCCAUCUUCUCCAAAUUAGCUUGCUCACAAGCAAAUGCUUGUAUUUGUUUUCUUUUGCACCUGUGCGCAAUUGCCUUGUAGCCGACUUCUUUGUCAGGCUCACAAUAAAUAAAUCCACAAUGUAGCUGUCA
rnacentral:lncRNA from 1 species